CUCGAGGCCUGGAGUUCGACACCUGUGUCUUAGAGGAAGUGGAGAAAAGAGGUGACUGGAGAGGCUGGUGCUGAGAGACAUUAUCAGCAUAGUUUAGUUUAUGGUGGUGGAUGAUCUGACCUAGUGGAAGCAUGUAAAUACUCUCAAAGAGUAUUCACAAAUACUCUUUGGUUGACUGGAGCAGAGGAGGAACAUGAGUAUCUGCAGCUGCCACUAGAUGGCGAUCUCACCUCAUCUCUCUGGCUCUGCUGCAGGAGGCGCAGCACACUAAUAGUAACACACUGGCUGCAAAUGUCUACGUGUUGUUCGUGGAAAAUAACGAGGAGGAGCUGGAACAGAAGCUAAAAUCAGAAGGAUACGAGACAGAAGAAUGUACAAUAUACCUGAAAAUGCCAGUAUAGUGAUCAUCAUAAUUAAAAGUGUGGAAAAGAUGGAUGGAUGCCAGCUCCUUAUUCACAAAUAUUUAAAGU